CAUGAUACAAUGCCAACUGAAAAAGAGCAGAGCACAGAAGUGUCUCUGUUUUGGUUAUAAUGUUUAUGUGUGGAAACACUAGACAAGAAAAUAGAAAAAUGAAAGCAGCUGAUACGUCAGCAUGAGGAGACGAAGCAAGCCUUUUCAUUCUUGCCUCAAAUGGGGACAACUGAGAAGGGCCACCCUGCUUUCAAGAGCUCCAUGGGAUCAGCUAAGUCCUGUGUUGUAUUUGCAUCACAGUUCAACUUUUCCCUCUGCAAAAGCCUGCCUCCCUCACUCUCUUAAGGAGUGUUCCCAAGGCAUUACACAAUAAAAACCCUUGCAUGCAAACCCCCAAAUCUGUGUCUGCUUCCUGGGAAUGCAACCUG
rnacentral:lncRNA from 10 species